GUUGUUGUGGCCGAGUGGUUAAGGCUGGACAGAAUUGUGACAUGCUAAAUGUUGGGCUCUUCCUGCGCAGGUUCAAAUCCUGCCGACGACU